CCACCCCGCAGAAAUGCUUGGACUACCCACAGUCCUUCGCCAGAUGAGACCAGUGUCCUGGGCACUGGCUCCUCAUCUCACUCGGGCCUAUGCCAAAGAUGUAAAAUUUGGUGCGGAUGCUCGAGUCUUAAUGCUUCAAGGUGUAGACCUUUUAGCCAGUGCUAUAGUUGUUACAAUGGGGCCAAAGGGAAGAACAGUGAUUAUUGAACAGAGUUGGGGAAGUCCCAAAGUAACAAAAAAUGGGGUCACUGUUGCAAAGUCAAUUGAUUUAAAGGAUAAAUACAAAAAUAUCGGAGCUAAACUUGUUCAGGAUGUUGCCAAUAACACUAACGAAGAGGCUGGGGAUGGCACCACCACUGCCACUGUUCUGGCCCGCUCUAUUGCCAAGGAGGGCUUUGAGAAAAUCAGCAAGGGGGCUAACCCAGUGGAAAUCGCAGAGGUGUGAUGUUGGCCGUCGAUGCUGUAAUUGCUGAACUUAAGAAACAAUCUAAACCUGUCAUUGUCACCAAAGAUGAUGCCAUGCUUUUGAAAGGAAAAGGUGACAAAGCUCACAUUGAAAAACGCAUUCAAGAAAUCACUGAGCAGCUAGACAUCACAACUAGAGAAUAUGUAAAGGAAAAGCUGAAUGAGCGACUUGCUAAAAUUUCAUGUGGAGUAGCUGUGUUGAAGGUUGGAGGGACAAGUGAUGUUGAAGUGAAUGAGAAGAAAGACAGAGUUACAGAUGCUCUCAAUGCUACAAGAGGAGCUGUUGAAAAGGCAUUGUUCUAGGAGGGGGCUAUGCUCUGCUACGGUGCAUCCCAGCCUUGGAUUCAUAAAAGCCUGCUAAUGAAAAUCAGAAAAUACGUAUAGAAACUAUUAAAAGAGCCGUUAAAAUUCCUGCAUUGAUGAUUGCUAAGAAUGCAGGUGUUGAAGGAUCUUUGAUAGGUGAGAAGAUUCUGCACAGUUCCUCAGAAGUUGGUUAUGAUGCCAUGCUUGGAGAUUUUGUGAACAUGGUGGAAAAGGGAAUCAUUGAUCCAACGAAGGUUGUAAGAACUGCCUUACUGGAUGCUGCUGGGGUGGCUUCCUUGCUAACUACAGCUGAAGUUGUAGUGACAGAAAUUCCUAAAGAAGAGAAAGACCCUGGAAUGGGUGCAAUGGGUGGAAUGGGAGGAGGUAUGGGAGGAGGCAUGUUCUAACUCCUAGAAUAGUACUUUGCCCUUAUCAAUGAACUGUGACAGGAAGCUCAAGGCAGGUUCCUCACCAAUAACUUCAGAGAAGAUCACCUGGAGAAAAUGACUGAAGAGAAGGCUGGCUGAUCACUGUAACCAUCAGUUACUGGUUUCCUUUGACAAUAUAUAAUGGUUUACUGCUGUCAUUGUCCAUGCCUACAGAUAAUUUAUUUUGUAUUUUUGAAUAAAGACAUUUGUACAUUCCUGAUGCUAGGUGCAAGAGCCAUA